UUUGAUGGCGACCGGCGCACGGGUGAGUAACACGUAUCCAACCUGCCGAUGACUCGGGGAUAGCCUUUCGAAAGAAAGAUUAAUACCCGAUGGCAUAGUUCUUCCGCAUGGUGGAACUAUUAAAGAAUUUCGGCCAUCGAUGGGGAUGCGUUCCAUUAGGUUGUUGGCGGGGUAACGGCCCACCAAGCCUUCGAUGGAUAGGGGUUCUGAGAGGAAGGUCCCCCACAUUGGAACUGAGACACGGUCCAAACUCCUACGGGAGGCAGCAUG
rnacentral:rRNA from 1 species